AUUGAACGCUGGCGGCAGGCCUAACACAUGCAAGUCGAGCGCGCGGCGGACGGGCGAGUAAUGUACGGGGACUGCCCGCAAGAAGGGGAUAACGACCGGAAACGGUCGCUAAUACCGCCUACUACAGGAGAACCCAUAUGGGCGUAGUCAGUUGGUAAGGUAAUGGCUCACCAAGGCGACGAUCCCUAGCUGGUCUGAGAGGAUGAUCAGCCGCAAGUAGACUGAGACACGGCCCGAAUCCCUAGGGAGGCAGCCGUGGUGAGUAUAGCACCAUGGGCGCAAGCCUGAUGCAGCCCUGCCGCGUGUAUGAAGAAGGCCGUAGAGUUGUAAAGUACUUUCAAUCGGGAGGCGUUACCGACAGAAGAAGCACCGGCUAGCUCCGUGCCAGCCGCCGCGGUAAUUC
rnacentral:rRNA from 1 species